GGAAAGAUGACCGAGCUGGCUGAAGGUGCACGAUUGGAAAUCGUGUGUACUGUUAAUAGCGGUACCCCGGGUUCGAAUCCCGGUCUUUCCG
rnacentral:tRNA from 1 species